GUGUGUCUGUAGAUGUUCAUUUACAUGCUGUGUGUGCACGGCCGCCUGCCUUGUUGAAUGGUAGUUUCACACUGGGACCUGUAGGAAAAACGUAGCGAUUUGAGGCUGAAUGUCAGGCCUGACAUGUUGUGAGUGAUCACCAUCUGUCAGAAAAAGGAUGGCAUGCUCCUGGUCUGGGCUGAAGUGAUAGAUGGGGCCCGGAUUGUUUUGGAACUUCUCUUCAAAGGCUAACUGCUCGGUGCCGCAGAGCCUGCUGCAGACCAUGUUGCUCUCCAGGAUGGCUGGGAUGAAGGAGCAGCAAUUUACUGAGGAGAAACCCCUACUGCAAGAACAAAGAGGACAAGACACUGAGAUGGAGAACUGUGAGACCCUGAUGCCCAUUGGAGACUGGAAGGUACUUAAACUGUUUUCUAUAUUUUCAAAGUACCGUACUCUCUUUCUCUCUCUAUCCUUCUCUGGUUGUUGUUAUUACUGUCCAUCACAGGCUGCUGAGGGGGAAACGGCUCAUAAUAAUGACCAGAACGCAGUAAAUAAAAUGGCAUCAGACACCUGGAAACCAUGUGUUUAA
rnacentral:lncRNA from 13 species